rnacentral:rRNA from 1 species
GACGGGGGGGCAAGUGUUCUUCGGAAUAACUGGGCGUAAAGGGCACGUAGGCGGUGAAUCGGGUUGAAAGUGAAAGUCGCCAAAAAGUGGCGGAAUGCUCUCGAAACCAAUUCACUUGAGUGAGACAGAGGAGAGUGGAAUUUCGUGUGUAGGGGUGAAAUCCGUAGAUCUACGAAGGAACGCCAAAAGCGAAGGCAGCACUCUGGGUCCCUACCGACGCUGGGGUGCAAAAGCAUGGGGAGCGAACAGG